GUCUCGGUGGCGUAGUGGUGAAGUCGCUCGUCUGGUAAACAGGAGGUUGUGGGUUCGACUCCCAGCCGAGGCA
rnacentral:tRNA from 1 species